rnacentral:rRNA from 1 species
AACGUAGGGCCCGAGCGUUGUCCGGAAUCACUGGGUGUAAAGGGUGCGUAGGCGGGCGUGCGCGUCUGGGGUGAAAGGCUCCGGCUCAACCGGAGACAUGCCCUGGGUACGGCACGUCUUGGGUGCGGGAGAGGGCGAUGGAAUUCCUGGUGUAGCGGUGAAAUGCGUAGAUAUCAGGAGGAGCACCGGUGGCGAAGGCGGUCGCGGGGCCCGCAACCGACGCUGAGGCACGAAAGCGUGGGGAGCAAACAGG